rnacentral:rRNA from 1 species
GAUGAACGCUGGCGGCGUGCCUAAUACAUGCAAGUCGAGCGAAUGAAGAGGAGCUUGCUCCUCUGAUUUAGCGGCGGACGGGUGAGUAACACGUGGGUAAUCUGCCUGUAAGACGGGGAUAACUCCGGGAAACCGGGGCUACUACCGGAUAAUAAGAAGAAACGCAUGUUUCUUUUUUGAAAGUCGGUUUCGGCUGACACUUACAGAUGAGCCCGCGGCGCAUUAGCUAGUUGGUGAGGUAACGGCUCACCAUGGCGACGAUGCGUAGCCGACCUGAGAGGGUGAUCGGCCACACUGGGACUGAGACACGGCCCAGACUCCUACGGGAGGCAGCAGUAGGGAAUCUUCGGCAAUGGGCGAAAGCCUGACCGAGCAACGCCGCGUGAGCGAUGAAGGCCUUCGGGUCGUAAAGCUCUGUUGUUAGAGAAGAACAAGUACGAGAGUAACUGCUCGUACCUUGACGGUACCUAACCAGAAAGCCACGGCUAACUACGUGCCAGCAGCCGCCGUAAUAC